rnacentral:rRNA from 1 species
AGAGACAGCAGCCGCCGCGGGAAUACAGAGGGUGCGAGCGUUAAUCGGAUUUACUGGGCGUAAAGCGUGCGUAGGCGGCUUUUUAAGUCGGAUGUGAAAUCCCUGAGCUUAACUUAGGAAUUGCAUUCGAUACUGGGAAGCUAGAGUAUGGGAGAGGAUGGUAGAAUUCCAGGUGUAGCGGUGAAAUGCGUAGAGAUCUGGAGGAAUACCGAUGGCGAAGGCAGCCAUCUGGCCUAAUACUGACGCUGAGGUACGAAAGCAUGGGGAGCAAACAGGAUUAGAUACCCCGGUAGUCCCUGUCUCUUAUAA